UACGGGGGGAGCAAGCGUUGUUCGGAUUUACUGGGCGUAAAGGGCGCGUAGGCGGCCACCGCAAGUCGACUGUGAAAUCUCCAAGCUUAACUUGGAACGGUCAGCUGAUACUGAUGUGCUAGAGUGCAGAAGGGGCAAUCGGAAUUCUUGGUGUAGCGGUGAAAUGCGUAGAUAUCAAGAGGAACACCUGAGGUGAAGACGGGUUGCUGGGCUGACACUGACGCUGAGGCGCGAAAGCUAGGGUAGCAAACGGG
rnacentral:rRNA from 1 species